rnacentral:lncRNA from 1 species
UCCACUUAGAAAGUCUCGAAUGUAUUCUUCACCAAAAAAUUUUACUAUAUUUUCUUCUAAAAAAAUGGAGGCUAUGAAAUCAAGAGAUAAACAUAAGAAUUAGGGAAAAUUCAUUGUGAUGUGCUUAGGAGUUUGAGUCUUUUUUCCAAAAAUUUAGGACCAGCCACGUGCCUUUCUAGAUUUUCCCUUGGUCUGCCAUUUUCUGCUAAACGAUGAUUGUGCGAGUCUUGUUGCGACCAUGGCUAUGUGACCGUGAAUAUCUUCCACGACCGCGUUUUCUUAACUUCUUCUUGACUACCACAAUCGCGGUCACCCAACCAUGAUUGCAAUAAUUGAGGCUAGUUCCUGCUCUAGGUCUUCAGUUGCACUGUCGUGAUCCCUUUUUGAUCAUUUUAAGCUCCAAUCUACAUCUUUCUAUCCCCACAAUUCUAUGCCUGCAAAGUUUGUAUAUUAGUGUAUUUAAUUAGAAUUAUGUCUCUUUAUUCUCUCAAAACAAGGUAAUGUGCAUGAUUGUUUAGUGCAAAUGGGUGGUAAAAUCACCUUUCAUAAACACCCCCAACUUAAACCAUUUGCUUGCCCUCAAGCAGCACUACCUCUUACCAUGAGAUAUAACUAUUUGUGCCCAAACUUCAUGCCUUAAAGACCACCAUGACUUCAACCUUAGUCAAUACCAUAAAUAGUUCAUUGCACAUAGGCUAGGCUAAUUUUCACUAAUCCCUUCAUCAUAAGAUUCACUAUCAAAGGAUGUACAAGAAUUCAUUGAGCAAUCAAUCAACAAAACCUAAUUCUCUAGAAGCGACUCACUUUUUGACUAAAACUAAGCUACCAUCCAUUUGUCUUGUUGUUCCGAAGGUGACACAAUCACCUAUCUUAAAUUGUUCACAUGCUAAUUUCACGAGAAAGAGAAUUUCACACACCAAUCCACCAAAUAUGCAACAAGGAAUUUUAAGUGCAAAAACUCUCUCUCUUACACAAACAAAAUCUCUACGCAACAGUUGUCAUACCAUAGGCUUGGCCCUAUUUUAAAUCGCCAUUACAAAGAAAUUAAAUGGUUGGAGACCUCGAAGGACUUUCUAAGCAUAUAAUGUAGGUUUGGGUAAUGGUAGGAUAUCAUUUGGAAUCAACAUGUCUACUCCCUUGAACAUCUACAUCACAUUUUUUGAUCCUCCUUUUUUACAAUAGGACACUCUAUUUUAUUUUCUUUCUUUCCAUAUGCCUAUAUUUCACCUCCUUUGUUCACCACUUUUCUUUCAUUCAUUUUUCUUGUAACUCAUUCCUUUGUCAUAUCCUCUUUUUUUCUAUUCAUUUGGUUUUAAUGCUAAGGCAACUAGACAUUUCCCUUACAAUUUUAUGGUCCCAAAUGUAUCAAAUGUAUUUUCGUUAAUCUUUUCCAUCCCCAGCAUAGGUUUUUAGCAACAAAUUGCAUUUUCUAGUUCAAGGAGGGUAUUGUUCAAAAGAGGUAUAAAAAGAAUGGUUCACAAUUUGUAAUGAGUUUGCCCACAAAAGGGUACAAAGGCUCAAAGUGGGCAACUAGGGAUUCCAAUCAUGCAUGGGUAGGCUCUUUAGGCUAGAGUGGUUUCUAAUGUUACAGAGAUAGCCUAAGAUCAUUUCUCCAACCAAAUACAAUAAAAAUAAUCUUUGAAAGACUAACGGGGAAAGUUCUAGAUAACAAAAUUAUACAACAAAUAAAUGAAAAAAACUUACCAGACAGGGCAUGCAAAAACUUGCCAAGGGGGUCAAAUGUCCCUCCCGCUAGAGACAAUUUAGAGUACCAAUUUUAAUUCACAAGUCAAAAAUUUACUAUAGAGCCACAAAAAGAGAAAAAGCUUUCUUACAAAAUUUCUCAUGUCCAUGCCCUUGAUUUUGUUUUGAAAAUUUUUUAUGGAGGGGGGGGGGGUUUCUUGUUUUGUAUUAGCACCACACACAAUUUUGUUAAAUUAUGGUCCUAACUAAAUCCUUAGUCUCACAUUUUGGCUCAAAAUGGGAUAACACCUAUAUGGCUACACAGACAUCGCCAAUGGUGUAUAACAUAAUCCAGAAUUUACAAUUUAUAGUGCCACAGGUACUCAGACGUCCCUUGCAUUCAUGACAUUUAUACUACAGGUACCCAGUGUUCUCCUGCAACUAUGGCUCAAAAUCCAAACAUGACAUUUUACCCUUAAGAAUGUCGUCACUUAAUCUUUCAUAGGGUAAAACUUGUCGUGCAUAAUCAAAAUCAAAAUAAAAGCUAAAGUAAAAAAGACAAAAACUAAAACUAGAUGAAAAGCAUGAUAAUCCAUAAAACAUGGGCACCAAUCGGGUGCCCAAAAUGUAUCAUUUCAAAAACAAAAUUAAAAUAAUAUUCAAAGAAUCAUCCCAAAAAAAUCACCAAUAUAAAUAUCCAGCAAACAAAACCAAAACAAUACACAUCUGGGGGUACCCCCAACUUAGAGAAUGUAGCAUCCACACAAUAUGUGCAAGCAAGUAAGAGUAAAAGGGCCUCCCUGAAUAUGUAUCAAGAGCUAUCUUCUCCUACUGACUUGGCAUCAUCACCACCAGCAUCAUCUGUUGGCCACUUUAUAGGGUCCUCAUCCUCACUAUCAAAUCUUGGUGAAGGUACUAGAUGGUUAGGUUUGAGCACCUUAAAGAUGUCCUUCACCUCUUUCCACAUCUUCCUAAAUAAUUUGUCUCUUUUUUUUGCCCUCUUCACCAUCUUCUCAUGCAAAAGCUUAAGGUCCCUAUGAGAGGUGGCUAAGGAUAAGUAGGCUAUCUCCUGACUGGCUACUGUGGCACCCUUCUUUUACUAAUUUGCCAUAUACUUCUCAUAAUCUAAUUAUGCUGCAUAUGAAUGAUGAGCAGUUGAGGGUUCUCUGAUCCCUGAGGUAGGUUCUCUCACCCCCUAUAUCUUAAUAGAGAUAUCAUCAAAAGCAGUCGCUGAUGAGGAUCUGCAAGAGUUUGUGUCCUCCUAGACUGAUUUGCCUAUGUAUAUCUUCUUUUUGUUACUUUGACCUGGGGCACCCUUACCUCUAAAUUUGAGUGGUUAGAUGAGAGAGCCUGAACGCACCAAAGUAUCUGUAUUAUACUCUUCCACUUUUGCCCUCUUUCAAAGAUCAAUGAUAAAGAAAGGUAAAAGAAUAUGCGUAUCUCCAUGAUUAUGGAAAUACAUCCACUCCAAAAGAACAAUCUCGCCAUAUUGAAAGGGAUGCCAAAUAGGAUGUAAGCUACCAUCCGAGCUCACAAAUUGGUGACAAUGGUUUAAUGGGCGCAUGGCGAUACUCAGUUUCAUAUGAUGUUUAGCAAAAUUCUAUCUUCAGUUGGUAAGUAAUUCAUCAAAACAUCUCUCUUUUUGAUGGAACAGGGAACUGCUUUUCCUAGAUAUAAAAUGUUUGCUAGCUAGGUCCCUGGCUCACAAGCCUUGAUAUGAAAAUGCACCAUGUCAGCAUUUGGUAGCCUAUAGACUGUGCUAAUAUGCUCUACUCAAAGGUUCACUUGCUUACCCCUAAUAGUCAUCACUGGGUUCGUGAGAGAUAUUAUGCUAAGGUUUGCAUAGAACUCAUGCACCUAUUUCUCAUUAGCAUAGCAGGGUUUUAAGGCAAAACACAUCCACCCAUUGUGGUGAGUCUGGGGUGGAAUUCUGGAAGAUUCUCCUCCAACUUGUAUGAGCUAAUACCCCUUUCAGGGAGUAUCUUCGUCCUAUGGAAAAUUUCAUAGUAAAGGUGCUGGCAUUAUGUAACCAUGAAUCAGGUGUAAUAAAAAUAUUCCAUCUCUGAGGCUAAGAACCUGUAUUCAAUGCAGCUCAGGCCAACACUAGUAUUAUAACACCAAGAAAAUACUAGAACAAACAUGUAAACUCUUGCAGUAGUGUUAUCUGUGGUUUUUAGAGUAGUAUAGGAUGUGUAAAAGUUUUGAAGUCUACCAAAAUCAUCUUUCAAGUAUGGUGAUCGUGGAGUGUUGACUCCGAUAGCGGUGUCACGAUUGCAGUUUUUAAGACCACGAUUACUGGACCUGAGACCAGGUUGGAUAGUUUUUACACAGUGUUUAAACUGCAAUUUUAUCCAACAAUACCUUAUUUAAAAUAGGCAUGGCAAGAUUAUAAGCAGAGAAUUUCAAUCCUAGAUUGUGUGAUCACAACCCUGAACUUAAAGAAAUUGAACAUUGAAUUUGUAGGGGCAUUUAACUACACACAUGAUGUACACUUCAAUUUAUGCGAUUUAAGGCUUAAUUUUGGGUACUCAAGACUUCCCCAAUAGUGUGUACACUAACUAUAAUAGCUAACCACAACAAAAUAACAACUAAGAAUUAAUUUGGUAAUGAAAACAUUAUUUCAGACCCUUUUUAUACAUUACAAGUUCAAAGCAUGAAAUUAUAUCAAAACCAAAGAGAUUUAGACAACUUACCAAGUUAGAUGCAACUAUUGGAAUGAACUGACACAUGGAUAUGCAAUGCAAAGCCCUAAAUUUAAGAGAAUUUUAAGAGAGAAAUGUGAGAAGAAGUUGAAUUUGGAUGUUCACUUAAACUAAUUUGACUGCGAUCGUGGUCCUUAUUCCGUGAUAGCGGUUAUGCAGCUUCCAUAAUUACGGUGGCACGGAUCGUGGUCGCAGUUACUGAGACUAAGCAACUGGGUUUCCUGCAGUUUAUGUUCAGUCAAAACUUGCCAAUUUCACAUAUUCAUUUUUCAAAUUCAAUCAAAAUUCCUCAUAGCACCAACAUUUCAUGGAUUAUGCAUGCAAAAGAACAAAAAUGAAAUCUACUUUACAUACAUAAAUCAAAAUGAUAUAUGCCACUAUUUAUGGUGUCAUGGGUUGCCUCCCAUUGAGUGCUUAGUUUACGUCAUGGUGCGAUACCUCCAUUGCUUCUUUGUAUCUUUCCACUUAAGGGAUUUAAAUCUCCAUCCCAAAUUUUAUUCAAUAUGCAAUAAGAAGCACAGGGAUAGAAGAUGUAAAUCUUCUAAGAUGAAACUUGGAAGAUGUAAUUACAAGGCAACCAAGCUUGAAUCUCACCAUUUUGUAGAAAUAAACCAUUUACCCAACUUUAUGUUGAACAUUUGGUUUUUCUCCUUGGGUAAAAAUGAACAUAUCAAUUGACCAUUUCUUGUACAUCAGAAAUUGAGUUCCUUGGCUAUUGAUUGGUGAGGUUCUAUACUCUCCUUUGGAAUGUCAAAUUCCAAAAUAUAAGACUCAAAAUCCUUCUCCCCAUAAUUCACUAUUUGUUCAGAGGCAUGGAUCCUCAUCACAUCCUCCAAGCAUAUGGUUUAAAAGUGGUAUGAAUGAGGUCAAACCCAUUAAUUCUGGGUUAGCCUCCUCCAAAGCAUCUUCAGCCCAAAAUGAACAAGAGUCAUCAUAAGAGAAAUGCAUUGAUUCUUUUUUUGGCUCUAGUACCAUUCCAUUUAUUUUGGUUUCUUCUGCCUCGUAUGAUUCAGAUUGUAAGAAAGUCCCUGAUGAGUCUUUUCUAUAUAGCCCAUCAUCAUAUCUUAGCUUCUCUCCUCGACAAACCUCAUCUCUAAAAAUGGACAUGGUUAUGAGAUUUGCAGGAAUUAUAUCCUUGUCCAAUUCUUUUGCUUUGACACUUUCCCUUUCGAACACCCCAUAGGAUUGAUACAAUUCUUACGCAUUAUCCCCGGUAAUAGUUACCCAAUCCCAAAUGGUUUGAAGCAUUACUCCAAGACCAAUGGGUCCUUAUUGUUGCUCCUCCUUCUUCUCAUAAUAAGACCUAUCAAUCUCAUAAAAAUAAAUAAAAAUUCGGUUAGUGUAAUAGGGGGAGGGGCAUUUG